CUUUAUGAUGAGUUUGGCUUGUUGUUAUGAAAAGUGUUUGUUUUGGCCAGUUUGAAGAUUUUUGAGCAUGUGUAAUGGCGUUAAUGUGUUGAAGUAGUAAUCCCAUGUGUUAAGCCGUUGUUUUAGUGUUCUUUUGAUGAGUUUGGCUUGUUGUUAUGAAAAGUGUUUGUUUUGGCGAGUUUGAACGUUUUUGAGCAUGUGUAAUGGCAUGAAUGUGUUGAAUUAGUAAUCCCUUGAGUUUUAGUGUUCUUUUGAUGAGUUUGGCUUGUUGUUAUGAACAUUGUUCGUUUUGGCGAGUUUGAACGUUUUUGAGCAUGUGUAAUGGCAUGAAUGUGUUGAAUUAGUAAUCCCUUGUGUUAAGCCGUUGUUUUAGUGUUCUUUUGAUGAAUUUGGCUUAUUGUUAUGAAAAGUGUUUGUUUUGGCGAGGUUGAACGUUUUUGAGCAUGUGUAAUGGCAUGAAUGCGUUAAGCUGUUGUUUUAGUGUUCUUAUGAUGAGUUUUGCUUGUUGUUAUGAACAUUGUUCGUUUUGGCCAGUUUGAACGUUUUUGAGCAUGUGUAAUGGCAUGAAUGCGUUAAGCUGUUGUUUUAGUGUUCUUUUGAUGAGUUUGGCUUGUUGUUAUGAAAAGUGUUUGUUUUGGCGAGUUUGAACGUUUUUGAGCAUGUGUAAUGGCAUGAAUGUGUUGAAUUAGUAAUCCCUUGUGUAAGCUGUUGUUUUAGUGUUCUUUUGAUGAGUUUGGCUUGUUGUUAUGAAAAGUGUUUGUUUUGGCGAGUUUGAACGUUUUUGAGCAUGUGUAAUGGCAUGAAUGCGUUAAGCUGUUGUUUUAGUGUUCUUUUGAUGAGUUUGGCUUGUUGUUAUGAACAUUGUUCGUUUUGGCCAGUUUGAACGUUUUUGAGCAUGUGUAAUGGCAUGAAUGUGUUGAAUUAGUAAUCCCUUGUGUUAAGCCGUUGUUUUAGUGUUCUUUUGAUGAGUUUGGCUUGUUGUUAUGAAAAGUGUUUGUUUUGGCGAGUUUGAACGUUUUUGAGCAUGUGUAAUGGCAUGAAUGCGUUAAGCUGUUGUUUUAGUGUUCUUAUGAUGAGUUUGGCUUGUUGUUAUGAACAUUGUUCGUUUUGGCCAGUUUGAACGUUUUUGAGCAUGUGUAAUGGUGUUGGUCUUGUCUUCUGUCACUGCCCUACAUAAAAAAGAUGUUUGCAGUCAGCACAUCACCAUAGAAAUAUUUGAUUAUGGUAUGACAGCCGCAUCUAGUGGUGAGCUUCAGUUGCUGCCCUACAUAUAAAUAUAAAGAGUACAGAGCUGUAGCUAAAAGCUGUAUAAAUGCAAAAUUAUUAAAGUGCAAAUAGGUGGUAUUGAUCUCAAAAGUGAGCAGAAGUAUAAAUGUAAAAAAUGCUCACAUGAAGACAAAGUUGUAAGACCUGUCAAUAUUUGUCGAUAUAGAAUUGUUACAGAACUGUGAGUAUAAAAAAGGCAUAUGAAUGUAAGAGUAUGAAAGUAGGAAGAAAGUAUUAAUCUUAAAAGUAUAGAGAGCUGAAUUUUAAAUACUUUUAUGAAUGUAAAAAAUGCUUUGUUUUUGUUUUAGUUGAUUUAGUGUUCUUUGAUGAUGUGUAUGGCUGUUUGAGUGUUUUUGAUGAGUUUGGCUUGUUGUUUGAAAGUGUUGUUUUGGCAGUUUGAACGUUUUUGAGCAUGUGUAAUGGAUAAUGCGUUAAGCUGUUGUUUUAGUGUUCUUUGAUGAGUUUGGCUUGUUGUUAUGAGUUUGAACGUUUUUGAGCAUGAAUGGUGAUGUUUGGCUUGUUGUUAGUGUUCUUUUGAUGAGUUUGGCUUGUUGUUAUGAAAAGUGUUUGUUUUGGCGAGUUUGAACGUUUUUGAGCAUGUGUAAUGGCAUGAAUGCGUUAAGCUGUUGUUUUAGUGUUCUUUUGAUGAGUUUGGCUUGUUGUUAUGAACAUUGUUCGUUUUGGCCAGUUUGAAGGUUUUUGAGCAUGUGUAAUGGCAUGAAUGUGUUGAAUUAGUAAUCCCUUGUGUUAAGCCGUUGUUUUAGUGUUCUUUUGAUGAGUUUGGCUUGUUGUUAUGAAAAGUGUUUGUUUUGGCGAGUUUGAACGUUUUUGAGCAUGUGUAAUGGCAUGAAUGCGUUAAGCUGUUGUUUUAGUGUUCUUUUGAUGAGUUUGGCUUGUUGUUAUUAAAAGUGUUUGUUUUGGCGAGUUUGAACGUUUUUGAGCAUGUGUAAUGGCAUGAAUCCGUUAAGCUGUUGUUUUAGUGUUCUUUUGAUGAGUUUGGCUUGUUGUUAUGAACAUUGUUCGUUUUGGCCAGUUUGAACGUUUUUGAGCAUGUGUAAUGGUGUUAUUGUGUUGAAUUAGUAAUCCCAUGUGUUAAGCCGUUGUUUUAGUGUUCUUUUGAUGAGUUUGGCUUGUUGUUAUGAAAAGUGUUUAUUUUGGCGAGUUUGAACGUUUUUGAGCAUGUGUAAUGGCAUGAAUGCGUUAAGCUGUUGUUUUAGUGUUCUUUUGAUGAGUUUGGCUUGUUGUUAUAAAAAGUGUUUGUUUUGGCGAGUUUGAACGUUUUUGAGCAUGUGUAAUGGCAUGAAUGCGUUAAGCUGUUGUUUUAGUGUUCUUUUGAUGAGUUUGGCUUGUUGUUAUGAAAAGUGUUUGUUUUGGCCAGUUUGAACGUUUUUGAGCAUGUGUAAUGGCAUGAAUGUGUUGAAUUAGUAAUCCCUUGUGUUAAGCCGUUGUUUUAGUGUUCUUUUGAUGAGUUUGGCUUGUUGUUAUGAAAAGUGUUUGUUUUGGCGAGUUUGAACGUUUUUGAGCAUGUGUAAUGGCAUGAAUGCGUUAAGCUGUUGUUUUAGUGUUCUUAUGAUGAGUUUGGCUUGUUGUUAUGAACAUUGUUCGUUUUGGCCAGUUUGAACGUUUUUGAGCAUGUGUAAUGGUGUUAUUGUGUUGAAUUAGUAAUCCCAUGUGUUAAGCCGUUGUUUUAGUGUUCUUUUGAUGAGUUUGGCUUGUUGUUAUGAAAAGUGUUUGUUUUGGCGAGUUUGAACGUUUUUGAGCAUGUGUAAUGGCAUGAAUGCGUUAAGCUGUAGUUUAGUGUUCUUUUGAUGAGUUUGGCUUGUUGUUAUGAACAUUGUUCGUUUUGGCCAGUUUGAAGGUUUUUGAGCAUGUGUAAUGGCAUGAAUGUGUUGAAUUAGUAAUCCCUUGUGUUAAGCCGUUGUUUUAGUGUUCUUUUGAUGAGUUUGGCUUGUUGUUAUGAAAAGUGUUUGUUUUGGCGAGUUUGAACGUUUUUGAGCAUGUGUAAUGGCAUGAAUGCGUUAAGCUGUUGUUUUAGUGUUCUUAUGAUGAGUUUGGCUUGUUGUUAUGAACAUUGUUCGUUUUGGCCAGUUUGAACGUUUUUGAGCAUGUGUAAUGGCAUGAAUGCGUUAAAGCUGUUGUUUUAGUGUUCUUUUGAUGAGUUUGGCUUGUUGUUAUGAAAAGUGUUUGUUUUGGCCAGUUUGAACGUUUUUGAGCAUGUGUAAUGGCAUGAAUGCGUUAAGCUGUUGUUUUAGUGUUCUUUUGAUGAGUUUGGCUUGUUGUUAUGAACAUUGUUCGUUUUGGCCAGUUUGAAGGUUUUUGAGCAUGUGUAAUGGCAUGAAUGUGUUGAAUUAGUAAUCCCUUGUGUUAAGCCGUUGUUUUAGUGUUCUUUUGAUGAGUUUGGCUUGUUGUUAUGAAAAGUGUUUGUUUUGGCGAGUUUGAACGUUUUUGAGCAUGUGUAAUGGCAUGAAUGCGUUAAGCUGUUGUUUUAGUGUUCUUUUGAUGAGUUUGGCUUGUUGUUAUGAACAUUGUUCGUUUUGGCCAGUUUGAAGGUUUUUGAGCAUGUGUAAUGGCAUGAAUGUGUUGAAUUAGUAAUCCCUUGUGUUAAGCUGUUGUUUUAGUGUUCUUUUGAUGAGUUUGGCUUGUUGUUAUGAAAAGUGUUUGUUUUGGCCAGUUUGAAGGUUUUUGAGCAUGUGUAAUGGCAUGAAUGUGUUGAAUUAGUAAUCCCUUGUGUUAAGCUGUUGUUUUAGUGUUCUUUUGAUGAGUUUGGCUUGUUGUUAUGAAAAGUGUUUGUUUUGGCGAGUUUGAACGUUUUUGAGCAUGUGUAAUGGCAUGAAUGCCUUGUUAAGCUGUUGUUUUAGUGUUCUUUUGAUGAGUUUGGCUUGUUGUUAUGAAAAGUGUUUGUUUUGGCGAGUUUGAACGUUUUUGAGCAUGUGUAAUGGCAUGAAUGCUUUAAGCUGUUGUUUUAGUUGUCUUAUGAUGAGUUUGGCUUGUUGUUAUGAACAUUGUUCGUUUUGGCCAGUUUGAAGGUUUUUUAGCAUGUGUAAUGGCAUGAAUGUGUUGAAUUAGUAAUCCCUUGUGUUAAGCUGUUGUUGUAGUGUUCUUUUGAUGAGUUUGGCUUGUUGUUGUGAAAGUGUUUGUUUUGGUGAGUUUGAACGUUUUUGAGCAUAUGUAAUGUCAUGAAUGCGUUAAGCUGUUGUUUUUGUGUUCUUUUGAUGAGUUUGGCUUGUUGUUAUGAAAAGUGUUUGUUUUGCGAGUUUGAACGUUUUUGAGCAUGUGUAAUGGCAUGAAUGUGUUGAAUUAGUAAUCCCAUGUGUUAAGCCGUUGUUUUAGUGUUCUUUUGAUGAGUUUGGCUUGUUGUUAUGAAAAGUGUUUGUUUCUGCGAGUUUGAACGUUUUUGAGCAUGUGUAAUGGCAUGAAUGCGUUAAGCUCCACCCUACCUUCAAGUUACCGCCCCAUUUCACUUCUCAACGUUGACAUUAAAAUUAUCACCAAGGCACUUUCCCACCGAUUAGAAAAAAUUAUUCCAUCCAUUAUUCACCCGGAUCAAACAGGAUUUAUUAAAGGAAGAAACUCAUCCAAUAACACACGCAGACUAUUCAAUAUAAUGCACCACUCAACCACACAUAACCAUAACUCAAUCAUAGCCACCUUAGAUGCAGAAAAAGCCUUUGACAGAGUUAACUGGUCAUUCCUCAUCCACACCCUACACAGUUUCGGCUUUGGGGAAUCAUUUAUUAACUGGAUUAAAACACUUUACACCUCACCUACAGCCACAGUUAUUACUAACGGACAAACCUCACAAAGCUUCACUCUUCACAGGGGGACCAGGCAAGGUUGCCCACUCUCUCCCUCUUUGUUCACCAUUUUCAUUGAACCCCGAGCAGCAGCCAUCCGUCAGAACCCCCUCAUUACAGGAAUCCAAACCCCCAACAUGCACCAUAAAAUCAGCCUCUAUGCAGAUGACAUUUUACUUUUUAUGGAUAACCCAAAAUCAUCACUACAAGAAGUAAUCAGUGUCAUCAAAUCCUUCUCCCUUCUCUCUGACUACUCAAUAAACUGGAACAAAUCCUCCAUACUCCCAUUAAACACCAACAGUCUGGCUGUGGCAGCCCUUACAACACCCAUCCCCUUCUGCACAAGUCACAUCACCUACUUAGGCAUCCACAUUUCCCCCAGGCUGUCAGAGUUGAUCAACCUGAAUUUCACUCCACUCCUAAAAAAAAUCAAUGAUGAUCUCCAACGAUGGAUGAACCUCCCAUUAUCUAUAUUAGGCAGAAUAGCAACAGUUAAAAUGACAAUCCUCCCCAAAAUCAGUUACCUUUGUUCAAUGAUUCCCACUCAUCCACCUCUCACCUGGUUUCAUUCCCUCGAUUCAUCCAUCAACAAAUUUUACUGGAAAAAUAAACCCCCACGAGUCAAACUGGCCACUCUUCAGAAAUCAAAAAGUUUAGGCGGACUCAAUGCUCCAAAUUUUCAUCAUUACUCACUAGCAAAUCAACUUCAAUACAUCUACAAAUGGACCCACCCCACCCAGUCAGAUAGCACGUGGUUAGACAUAGAACAAACAGUUAGCAAAGACAUCCAUCUCUCAGACCUACCAUUCCUCAGUCAAACUAUCAAAAAACACCCCUGUUUCCAAAACCCCACAAUAUCAUCGGCCCUGACAGCCUGGUGGAAAUUCUACAGCAUUACUAACUCCACUCUGGCACCAUCGCUUUUCACCCUGAUCUGGCACAACCUGGACUUCAUCAGCAAUAAACAAUCACUAUACUUCAGCACCUGGGUAGAGAAAGGGAUUACUCACCUCAAACAUAUCUUCAAUAAUAACACCCUGGUCCCAUUCUCUCUCCUGGUCCAGAAGUUUGGCAUCAGGAGCCAUCAAUUCCUACAAUAUCUACAGGUUUCAUCAUCCAUCCAAUCAUCAAUGAAAAACAAGAAUAUAAACUUAGACCUCCCCCCGUUACCCUCUAAACUCAUUAACAUCCCUUCCUCAAAGAAAAUCCUAUCUAAAUUAUACAAAUUAUUAUCACAGGCCGACUCAACACCCUCCAUACCCUCCUGAUGCUGACUUCUGGCCCCAAAUCUGCAAGAACAUUUUCUCCAUGACGAAAAAUGCUAAUUUACAACUCAUACAAUACAAAAUCCUUCACAGAACUCAUCUGACUGGACACAAAAUGCAAAAAAUGGGCUUCUCAUCAUCUGGAAACUGUUCACACUGCUCACUAAACUGCACUGAUACCUAUAUUCAUGCAACCUGGCACUGCACACCUGUUCACCACUUCUGGAGAAACAUUACAGAAACAUUAUCCCAGAUUAUGGGCUGCCACAUCCCACUUUCCCCUUCCGUCUGUUUAUUAGGAGACCUAUCUCCAUUAAAACUUGACAAAACACACACACACGUUCACUUCUAGUGGCACUAACCGUCGCCAGGAAAACUAUCCUCAUGAACUGGAAGUCUCGGAACUCCAUACUCAUAAUACACUGGAAAAACCUGCUCAUAGACUACAUCUCCUUAGAAAAUACAAACUCCUCUGACAAUAAUCAUAACUCUACCUGGUUAUCAUUCAUCACUUUUCUAAGCUCAUAAUCUGCCACAAACCAGUCACAACAUCAUCCAUCUCUGUUCUCUGACACUUUCAUUCCCAACUUUUUAUUUUUAUUUUAUUUACUUAUCUAUUUAUUAUUAUUAUUAUUAUUAUUAUUAUUAUUAUUAUUAUUAUUAUUAUUAUUAUUAUUAUUAUCUUUAUUAUUAUCUUUAUCAUUAUCAUUAUUAUUUUUAUAUUAUUAUUGUUUAUUGAUUUUUAUUUCCUAUUUCUUACUACAUAUUACUACAAAUAUUAUGAUGAAUAUUAUUGUCAUUGUCAUUUUCUAUUAUUAUUAUUUAUUUAUUUAUAUACUUACAUUUACAGUUGUUAUUUUCUGCUCGGGUCCCUGCUGGGUCGCGCCUGUUAGACAAUGACCUGUGAUCUCCUUGCCCUUCCGGCCUCCCCCUCCCCCAGUUCUCCGCCCUGGACUGUCUUCAGAUGGCACAUCACCUCUUUUAUUGCACAUCACACUAGAUUAGGAAGAGGAACGGGGUCUCAAUCUCAUCAAAUUAUAGUUCAGGACAACCCCUCUCCUUGGUUUUAAUGCACAACAUUAGAAAGCACAUAUAUGAGAGAAAUUAAGAAAAAAUAAAUAAAAUAAAAUAAAUAAAAUAAUAACAAUAAUAAUAAUAAUAAUAAUAAUAAUAAUAAUAAUAAUUAAAAAAAAUAAUAAUAAUAAUAAAAAUAAAUAAAUAAUUAUAAAGUAUAUUAAGUAAAUAACAAAGACUAAAUACAUAUAUAGACAUAGGGCAAGGUGUUGUGCCGCAUUCAGUCCGGGGCAUGCGGGGGUUGGGGUGGGAGUCUGGGGGCCUGGAGGGAUGCAGGUGGGUCUCGUGCGAGUGGGAAGGGACCCAAAGUG